rnacentral:rRNA from 1 species
AAUCAACGCUGGCGGCGUGCCUAACACAUGUAAGUCGAGCGAGAAGACGUAGCAAUACGUUUGUAAAGCGGCGAACGGGUGAGGAAUACAUGGGUAACCUACCCUCGAGUGGGGAAUAACUAGCCGAAAGGUUAGCUAAUACCGCGUACGCUCCUUGGACUUCGGUUCAGGGAGGGAAGCGAUACCGUGGGUAUCGCGCUCUUGGAUGGGCUCAUGUCCUAUCAGCUUGUUGGUGAGGUAACGGCUCACCAAGGCUUCGACGGGUAGCUGGUCUGAGAGGACGAUCAGCCACACUGGCACUGCGACACGGGCCCAGACUCCUACGGGAGGCAGCAGUAAGGAAUAUUGCGCAAUGGGCGAAAGCCUGACGCAGCGACGCCGCGUGGGGGAU